GACGAACGCUGGCGGCGUGCUUAACACAUGCAAGUCGAGCGGUAAGGCCCUUUCGGGGGUACACGAGCGGCGAACGGGUGAGUAACACGUGGGUGACCUGCCCUUAGCUCUGGGAUAAGCCUGGGAAACUGGGUCUAAUACCGGAUAUGACUCCAUGACGCAUGUUGUGGGGUGGAAAGCCUUGUGCGGCUAGGGAUGGGCCCGCGGCCUAUCAGCUUGUUGGUGGGGUGAUGGCCUACCAAGGCGACGACGGGUAGCCGGCCUGAGAGGGCGACCGGCCACACUGGGACUGAGACACGGCCCAGACUCCUACGGGAGGCAGCAGUGGGGAAUCUUGCGCAAUGGGCGAAAGCCUGACGCAGCGACGCCGCGUGGGGAUGACGGCCUGGU
rnacentral:rRNA from 1 species